rnacentral:rRNA from 1 species
UGUGCCUACGGGAGGCAGCAGUAGGGAAUCUUCCACAAUGGGCGAAAGCCUGAUGGAGCAACGCCGCGUGGGUGAAGAAGGUCUUCGGAUCGUAAAACCCUGUUGUUAGAGAAGAAAGUGCGUGAGAGUAACUGUUCACGUUUCGACGGUAUCUAACCAGAAAGCCACGGCUAACUACGUGCCAGCAGCCGCGGUAAUACGUAGGUGGCAAGCGUUAUCCGGAUUUAUUUGGCGUAAAGGGAACUCAGGCGGUCUUUUAAGUCUGAUGUGACAGCCUUCGUCUUAACC